rnacentral:rRNA from 1 species
UACGAAGGGGGCUAGCGUUGCUCGGAAUUACUGGGCGUAAAGCGCACGUAGGCGGCUUUCUAAGUCGGGGGUGAAAUCCUGGAGCUCAACUCCAGAACUGCCUUCGAUACUGGAAAGCUCGAGUCCGGGAGAGGUGAGUGGAAAUGCGAGUGUAGAGGUGAAAUUCGUAGAUAUUCGCAAGAACACCAGUGGCGAAGGCGGCUCACUGGCCCGGUACUGACGCUGAGGUGCGAAAGCGUGGGGAGCAAACAGG